ACUUUCAUUAAAAUCAUAAAUUUCGAAUUGGAUAAAUUUCCUUAUUGCGUACUAACUAAAUAUUAAAAAUUUUAAUUUUAAUUGUAGAAAAUUUAAUUCUAAAAUUUCCUAAUCCAACAAAUACGCGAACGAAAACGGGUAAAGAAUCUUCCGUGUGGUCUCACGGCUCACAAGUUGGGAAUCCACGCAAUAAAUAAAGGCGAGCUAGUCGAUGAAAAUUCUUUGUAACAGAGUAUCGUGGAUCGAGCGAAGGAAGUCGUUUGCCAAAGUGCGAAGGGUUCCAGUCAUGCGAUACUAGAUGUCGUUGCCAAGGAACUGACUCGUGACCUCCGAAACGCGUUCCACUCAAUGUGAAUCCUUCCCAAUUUUUCUCAAUUCCUUUGAUCGACUUUCGUGACUUUCACCAUGCUGGAACUUUCGCGCCAAUUGACUCCGCAUCGUAUCUCGCGUAACGAAGAUCCAAGGACACGACCUCGAGCGUCGAGCAUCCAUUCUCGAAGGAGAGGUAUAAUGACCUGGUAAAGUUUCGAUGCCGUGCCGACACACAUUCGAACGAAGAAUAAAAAAGGUUUUGUUACCCGCACCGGAAGUGGACCGACUUUUCAUCGAGUGCUGCAGAAUAGCAAGUAUAUACGGUCGAAAACGCUUGCAGGGUAUUUCUUGAUCACGUGGAAGAGAAAAGCGUGUGAGUAUGUGUGCGAAAGAGAGAGAGAAACGACGGUGCUAGAUGCACGGAUAAGAAAAGCACCGGUUAAUAGUGGUGGAAGAUAGAGGCUGAAGAACGUGCAAUAAAGGAAGUGGUUGCGGACGAAGAGGAAAUUGUGACUUAUAGCAUCCUUCCUGAACAGUGGAUCUAAGUACGUGCGAACUGAAACCUACUUCUUCCUUAUCGCGUAUAUGUAUAUUAGUGUGAAACGAACAAAUUGAAAUUUUCUUCACAAUGUAAAAGAAAAAUUUAUCUGAUCUCCGCAAUUUAGACGAUAUUUGGGAAAUUAAAACAAUUAUAAUUUUUUUGUUUUCUUUC